rnacentral:rRNA from 1 species
AUUGAACGCUGGCGGCAGGCCUAACACAUGCAAGUCGAACGAGUGGCGGACGGGUGAGUAAUGUCUGGGAAACUGUCCGUUGGCGGGGGAUCACUGCUGGAAACGGUUGCUAAUCCCGCAUUCCAUCCGAUGUGCCCAGAUGGUGUUAGCUAGUAGGUGGGGUAACGGCUCACCUAGGCGACUAUCCCUAGCUGGUCUGAGAGGAUGACCGGCCACACUGGGACUGAGACACGGUCCAGACUCCUACGGGAGGCAGCAGUGGGGAAUAUUGCACAAUGGGCGCAAGCCUGAUGCAGCCAUGCCGCGUGUAUGAAGAAGGCCUUCGGGUUGUAAAGUACUUUCAGCGGGGAGGCGUUACUCACAGAAGAAGCACCGGCUAACUCCGUGCCAGCAGCCGCGGUAAUUC